GAUGAGCGCUAGCGGGAGGCUUAACACAUACAAGUCGAGGGGUAAAUGGUAGCAAUACUAUGAGACCGGCGGACGGGUGCGUAACGCGUAUGCAACAUACCUUGUGCAGGGGGAUAGCCCGUGGAAACGCGGAUUAAUAUUCCAUAGUCCAGCUGUAUCGCAUGGUAUAGUUGGUAAAGAUUUAUCGGCACAAGUUUGGCAUGCGUCUGAUUAGCUUGUUGGUAGGGUAACGGCCUACCAAGGCUACGAUCAGUAGGGGUUCUGAGAGGAUUAACCCCCACACUGGUACUGAGACACGGCCCAGACUCCUACGGGAGGCAGCAGUAGGGAAUUUUCGGCAAUGGGGGAAACCCUGACCGAGCAAUGCCGCGUGAAUGAAGAAGGUCUUCGGACUGUAAAAUUCUGUUAUUUGUGGAAGAAAGGUAGUUGGAGGAAAUGCCAAUUACUUGACGGUACCAAAUGAGAAAGCCCCGGCUAACUAUGUG
rnacentral:rRNA from 1 species